GUGUCCUAGGAAAGAAGAUGGAGACAGCCCUCCCCUUAACAGUGAUGGAAGAGGGUCUUUUAGGCCAUUCAGCACAUACACAUUUAAGGCAUUGCUGCCUACUCUUGUUUUCUGUUUUCACAAGUAAAGGUACUUAUUUAU
rnacentral:ncRNA from 1 species